UGAGGUGACAGAUGAAAGUGGAGACUUGUUAUGCCAGGGAAGAAUAAUCUCCACCAUAGUUCAUUCCUAUUCUGUUGCCUAUGAGGAAUUCGGUGGGAACUGUUCCUUAAGAGUGGUGUGCAAAGAGCAAGUCCAAAGAAACCAAAGACUAAAGAACAUGAAGAUGUAUUUCACUGUUCUCCGAUUCCCU